rnacentral:rRNA from 1 species
AACUAACGCUGGCGGCGUGCCUAACACAUGCAAGUCGUACGAGAAAGUCGGCUUCGGCCGAUGAGUAAAGUGGCGCACGGGUGAGUAAUGCGUGGAUAAUCUGCCCUUGAGUUCGGAAUAACGUACCGAAAGGUGCGCUAAUACCGGAUAAUACUGCACAACUACUGUUGUGUAGUCAAAGAUGGCCUCUGUUUACAAGCUUUUGCUGAAGGAUGAGUCCGCGUACCAUUAGCUAGUUGGUGGGGUAAUGGCCUACCAAGGCGACGAUGGUUAGCUGGUCUGAGAGGAUGAUCAGCCACACUGGAACUGAGACACGGUCCAGACUCCUACGGGAGGCAGCAGUGAGGAAUAUUGCGCAAUGGGGGCAACCCUGACGCAGCAACGCCGCGUGAGUGAGGAAGGUUUUCGGACCGUAAAGCUCUGUCGAGCGGGAAGAAAUGCAUGGUGGCUAAUAUCCAUCAUGCUUGACGGUACCGCU